AGAGAGUGUUCCGUUGCUCAUUAGCAACAAUCUUGGCGAUAGAUCUUUCAUAGCUAAAUAGCUACAGAGUUUAACUAUGGCUUUUCCUUAGCAAUGACGUAGCUAAUGUAGCUACAAAUUUUGCUAUAAUUUUUUUGUAUCUAAAAUGUUGGAUUCAAAUUACCAACAAACACGUUUAGUAGCAAAAGAAUGAUUUAUUUUGCACAUUUAACAAUAGAUCCAUCGUUGACUUAGAGUGAUUUAUUUGGUUUCGAAUACAAAUCUAUACAAACUGAUUUUCAGAAUAUAAGAUUACAUAAAUUGUUUUACAACAUUAGAGUAUCAUAAGAAAAAAAAAUCUAAAAUUCCCAAAUCAAAAUUCUAGUAUCAAAACAAAAAGCUAGAUCUAAUAAGUGAAAACUAAAGGCAUAAGAAAAACUUCUGUUGGGGAUGUGUGUAUGUGGGGAUGCUGAGAUGUAGCUACCGCCGUGAAUUAGUGAGGAGCUUGGACUGUGGAAGAGCAGAGAGAAGCCUGAACUUCAGUGGAGCAGAGAGGAGACAUGGCUGCAGAGGAGAAGAAAAGGGCUGGGCUGCGAGUUCUGUGACCAGAGAGGAGAAGACGGAAGAGGAGCUAAACGGAGAGGAUACCACGCCUUGCACUAUCGGAGAAGAAAGAAGAGAUGAGAUUCGUAGAGGGGAAGAAGAGAUGAGGAGAUCAUGAGAUUCGCAGAAGAGAAAGAAAAGAUGAGGAAGAGGGAUGAAGAUCUCAGAUCUGGUAAGAAAGAUAAAAAGAGAUGAGUCAAAUAGAAAAUAAAAUUAUAAAUGUAUUUCAUCCGUUAGAUUAAAGUACUAUCAACGGCUACGGUUAAAAAAUGAGUUAUCUUCGCCCUUUUACAUCGACCACUAACAAUCCACCCUUCUUUUUGAUAAAUAAUUUGGCGGCUAUCACAAAAAUUUGGCGUAAAUUUUUUUUUUUCUUAGCGGAAAUCACUCUUAAUAUAAAAUAAGUGGUAAUCUAUUCCCCAAUUAUUUAUAGAUUUGAUUACAUUAGUAUAUUCGGUAUGAUUUGAUAAAGGACAAAAGUAUAUUCGGUAUGAUUUUAUUUUUAAUUUGUUGUAGAAUUUUAUUUUUCUUUAUAAUACACAAUUAGUUUACUUUACUUCUUUAUUAUAGGGUUUGGGGUUUGGGGUUUGGGAUUUAGAUUUAGGGUAUAGGAAGUUACUUAGGUUAAAUUGGAGAAGGAAAUAGGCUGUGUAUCAUAGAAAAAAUAAAACUUCUAUAAAGAACUUCCAAAACAUUUUCAAAACUUUACUUUCCAAAAGAGAAUUUUUGAAAUUUGGUUACUUGUUAUAACUUAUAACAACACCAAAACAAAUGCAAACAAAAAGAUAAUGGAAAUAAUUCUGAAAAUUUACCAAAGUCGUGCAUCCAUCAAUAAUUUGUCUUAUGAGCUACUUUUCUUGUUAAAAGGCUGAAACUAGUUUUGGAGUAUAAGAAUUAAAACAUGUAUUGGUCAAAAGAGAUGAAAGAAGAAUCACUCUUGAUCUGUAUGAACUGACCAACGCCACAAUUAAUAUAUAUACCAUUACUAUAUAUGCUAGAAUUAAACCAACAGAUGUGUCCACACGUUAGUUUUCACCACAUAACUGAUUUUAAUACAUGUAGAUUAAAAAUUUAUCAUGGAACAUAAAAUGAAUCGAUAAUAUAACAGUCUUAUAUAGAAACACAUAUAUAUGUGCAUAUAUUUAUGAAAUAUUAUAACUUUUAUUAUCUUGAUAAUUUUACAUUUAGUAUUGUUAUUAAGGCGACGGAAUAGUGAAGAUAGAGAUAUCGUAGCUAUAUAGCAAUAGAAACAAUUAUAGCUAUUUUUCGCUAAAUAGAAAAAUUAUAGCAACCACUUUUUCUUAGCUAAGGCGUAGCUAUUUAGCUACAUAUUAUCGACGAAAUCUGUCUCUAGCUAUAUAGCUACGGAUAGCUACAGUUAGCCACAAAUUUAGCUACACAAUUAAAACUAUGUGGUUCGUCGCUAUAUUUGUAGCUAAUGAAUUUAGCUACGGAAAUACUUUAGCCAGUCCGUAGCUAUUUUAAUAAAUUUUUGUAGUGAAAUCUAGAGAAUUCUACCAUAAUAUCUAAGAUUUUUUUUAUCAUAAUUAUCUAGAUAAUUCUAUGAGAAUAUCUAGAUUUUUAUUCUAAGGAGGUGAAUGAUUUUUCUAGAAUGUGGACUAAGUUUUGGAUCAACACAUGAUUAGCCCAAUACUUAACUUGAUCCAAAUCAAGUUUACCUUUCAACACCCCCUCUUAAACUUGAUUUGUUACUCCGAGUAAGCUCCUCAUCUUGAUAAAGUCUUCUCGUUUGAGUGGCUUAGUGAAGAUAUCAGCUACUUGAUCAUUUGUCUUCACAUACUCCAAUUGCACAUCCAUCUUGGUAACACAUUCUCUUAUGUAGUGAUAACGAGUAUCGAUGUGCUUACUCCGAUCAUGGAAGACUGGAUUCUUCGCCAAUGCUAUUGCCGACUUCUUAUCCACAAAGAUCUUCGUUGGCUCUUCUUGUGGUAGGUUCAACUCCUUUAGCAAGUUUCGUAACCAAAUAGCAUGGCAAACACAUGAAGUAGCUGCCACAUACUAUUGUUGUUGGAUGAUCCAUGUAUCGACUCACAACUCCAACUGCGUGUAGGAUGUCGGGCCUUGUGCACGUUAGAUAGCGUAAGCUUCCAACUAGACUCUUAAAGAGUGUUGGAUCCACACUCUCUCCUUCUUCUUCCUUUGAUAACUUGACUCCACAUUCCAUUGGCGUGCAAACUGGAUUUGAGUCAUCCAUCUUGAACUUCUUAAGCACCUCUUUAGCAUAGCCUUCUUGAGUAAUGAAGAUUCCAUUUUCUUCUUGCUUUACUUCAAUGCCAAGGUAGUAUGACAUCAAUCCAAUGUCGGUCAUCUCGAACUCCUUUGUCAUCUCCAUCUUGAAAUCUUCAAACAUAAUCGGAUUGUUGCCAGUGAAUAUCAAGUCAUCAACAUAUAAGCAUGCAAUCAAUAUAUCAUUGUUUUGAGUUUUGAUAUAAAGUGCAUGCUCAUAUGGACACUUGAUGAAGCCUUUCUCCUUGAAGUACUUAUCAAUCCGAGUGUUCCAUGCUCUUGGUGCUUGCUUUAAUCCAUAAAGCGCCUUCUUCAGCCUUAAGACUUUGUCUUCUUCUCCUUUAACUAUGUAGCCUUGUGGUUGCUCAAUGUAGACUUCUUCCUCAAGGUCUCCAUUUAAGAAGGCUGAUUUGACAUCCAUUUGAUGUAUCCUCCAACUCUUUUGGGCUGCCAAUGAAAUGAUUAGUCUAACCGUUUCUAAGCGAGCAACUGGAGCAAAUACCUCAUCAUAGUCGAUCCCGGCUCUUUGACUAUAGCCUUUUGCCACCAAUCUUGCCUUGUACCUUUCAACUUCUCCUUUAGAGUUCUUCUUUGCCUUGUACACCCACUUCACACCAAUUGCCUUGUGUCCAUUUGGAAGUGAAGCUAACUCCCAUGUAUCAUUCUUUUGAAUCGACUUGAUUUCCUCAUCCAUUGCACUUCUCCAUGACUUCUUUUCUUGGGCUUCUUCAUAGUUCAUAGGCUCGCAAUCCUCAAAUAGACAAAAUAGAGUAAGAUUGUCUUGAUUUUCGGUUACCUCGUAGAUGUCUUGUAGACGUCUAAAAUGUGGAGUCCUUUCACUUGAGCUUUCAUCUCCUUGAGAACUUGUUGUUGGUGAAGUUGGUGGUGUAGCUGGCUCUUCUCUCGGUUGCUCCACAUUCUCUUCUUCAAAGUAUGGAAAGAAGUUGUAGUCUUCAUUAUUUGAUCUCCAAUCCCAUUCUCCUUCUUCAUCAAAGAUGACAUUCCGACUAAUGAUUGUCUUCUUUGUUGCAGGAUUGUAGAGCUUGUAGCCUUUGGAGUUAGCGUCAUACCCAAUGAAGAUGUACUUCUCAUGAAUUGCUUUCCAAGUAAGCAACCUUCACACACUUGAUUUGGAUGAUUGAUGCAAGGUAAUCCUUUCACCAUUUCUUUCUUGGAAAGUAGCUCUAAGCCUCCAAAGUUGAGAUGCCCAAAUCGAAGAUGCCAAAGCCAAGAUUCCUCCUUGUAGCACAUCUUGAGACAUCGUGCAAUGUCAUUUUGAAUGUUUAGGACAAACAUUCUAUUGCUUGACAUUGGCACCUUUGUGAUGAGAUUAUUUGCAUUAUCUCUUAAAGAAAGGCUAUUAUCUUUUAGUCGAAUGUCAUAACCUUUCUCUAAGAGUUGUCCUAGGCUCAAGAUGUUGGUCUUCAUGCUUGGAAUGUAGUAAACGUUGGAAAUGAAUUGAUGAUCUCCAUUCUUCAAGCGGAUGAGAAUAUUUCCUUUACCUUUCACUUCCAUCUUCGAUUCAUCUCCUAAAGCCACAUCAGUUUUCACCGAUUCAUCAAGCUCCACGAACAUGCUUUUAUUUCCACACAUGUGGUUGCUUGCACCACUAUCAAGGUAGCACUUGUGAACCUCAUUUGGUUCAUCCUUCUUGUAAGCCAUAAACAGCAUAUCUUCUUCCUUACGCCGUUCUUCAACAUAGUUGGAUUUCUCUUCAACUCUAUUGUUUUUUGGAGUUUUACAUUCAGAAGCAUAAUGUCCAAACUUUCCGCAACUAUAGCAUUUGAUGCUUGAUUUAUCAUACCUUGAAUUUGGGUUUCCUCUUCCACGACCUCUUGAUGAAUUCUCUCCUCUUUGGUUGAAGUUGUCUUCAUAUGGUCUCCAACCUCGUCCAUUUACACCACGACCUCGUCCUCGAAAAUGACCAUCACCACGUCUCGGAUGAUUUCGGCCACUUUCUUCCUUGUGAUCAAUUCUCAUCUUGAGAACUUGCUCCACAAUAUCUUCUUCUUUCUUCUUCUUCUUUUCUUUAUAAGCUUGUAGUGAUCCAAGAAGUUGCUCCAUUGUCAUAGUCUCCAAGUCUUUUGUCUCUUCAAUCACGGUGACGAUAUGCUCGAAUUUUGAAUCCAAUGAUCUAAGAACUUUCUCCAUGAUUCUCACCUCAUCUAACUUCUCACCAUUUCUUUUUAGGUUAUUAGUAACCGUCAAGACUCUUGAGAAGUAAUCUGAGAUGAGUUCUCCUUCCUUCAUUUGUAAUGCUUCAAAUUCUCCUCUUAGAGUUUGAAGACGUACCUUCUUAACUUGUUCCGCUCCCUUGUAACAUGUCUGAAGCUUCUCCCAUGCUUCUUUGGAUGUCUUUGUUCCAGCAACCUUCUCAAAUGUAUCUUCAUCUAAUCCUUGAUAGAUUAGACAGAGAGCCUUCUUGUCUCUCUUCCUUGAAUCUCUCAAACCAUCCUUUUGAGUUUGAGAUAGACCACCAUCAUUCUCCGGUUCAUUGAAGCCUUUCUCGACUAUCUCCCACACAUCAUGUGCUCCUAGGAUAGCCAUCAGCCUAAGACUCCAAUUGUCAUAGUUGCUCUUAGUGAGCAAUGGAACUUGGAAGGGAACACCAUUGUUUGCCAUCUUCAAAAGGAACUUGUAGCUCUGAUACCACUUUGUUGGAAUGACAAACUUUGUAGAGAUGGAGAAAGUGUUUUAAGUGUUUGAAGAGAAAUAAAUUUUGUGAAGAAGAAAUAUUUUAUAACUUAGAAGAAGAUUUUUAUUACUCGUUACAAGCUUUGUUUAUUUCUUGGUGAUACAAAAUGAAAGGGGAGUGGAGGUAUUUAUAGCCUCCAAAAUACAAAAUAUCUUACAUAUUUUAAUCCUAAAUCUAGAGAAUUCUACCAUAAUAUCUAAGAUUUUUUUAUCAUAAUUAUCUAGAUAAUUCUAUGAGAAUAUCUAGAUUUUUAUUCUAAGGAGGUGGAUGAUUUUUCUAGAAUUUGGACUAAGUUUUGGAUACACAUGAUUAGCCCAAUACUUAACUUGAUCCAAAUCAAGUUUACCUUUCAACACACAAAUCAAGUUUACCUUUCAACAUAUGUCUCUAUACGACUACUGGAAUUGUUAAAUUGUUGCAUUUGUUUGUUAUGUUGCAUAGAUGAUUUGGAUCGAACAAUUUGAUAUAUUUCUCUUCUUAAUGAUUAUUGGCCUCUAUAAAUCUGAGGAUCAAGAUGCUUUUGAGAGAUUUCUUGCUUUUGAAUUUAGCAAAAGUGUAUCUCCGAAAGGAGUUUGAUUGAUGAUCAUGUCCUUUACAUAUUAUGAACUUGCAGUCUCUACCACCUCAGAGCAACCUUCCUUGCUUACAUCCUAUAAGCUUAAGGUAUGACCCUGGUUAACGUUGAGAUAUAAUAAGAUCUAUUUUAUGAAGAAACAUUUAUCAUUAUUUCAGUUCAUUGACAUCCUUCGUCCUAGCCUCUGGGAUGUUUGGAAUUUUUUAGCGCAAUCAUAAGUACUAAAAUGACUUGAUUUUGGUGCAUGUAAUAUCUCUUUUAGUUUUGUCUCUAUCUGAUUUUUUUUUUUUGGCUAAGCAGUCCCUUCAGUUUCUGUUUUUACUGGUUUAGGAUGAAACUAAUUUUGGUUUAUCUCCUUUGUCUCUGGUGUUGGCUUCUCAGGUGGAUUGAUACCAGCAAGGAUAGCAUGACUCUGAUCAUUGUGAGGUAACAAAAUGUUUGCUUCCAGUUUGAUGAAUGCUUAAUUGCUCUUAAAUUUAACACAUGUGCAAGUCGACUACAAAGUCAUGAGCGUGGAGAAAUUGAUGGUCCAUUUUAAAAUGAAGAUCCAAUGUCCCUACUUAUUUAUUGAAUACUCGGUAUAACACACAUUCCCAUGUUUUCUUUGUCUGUUGGUAUUUUAUGUAAUGGAAGUGUCCAUCUUUUGUCAGGGAACUGUGACAUCGACAUAAAGCAUUUUUGAGGUUUAAUUCCUACAUAUACCUUUUACUCCUCUCUAUCUAAUAUAAGAUCGUAUGGAUUCAGGAAAUGUGGUACUGUUAUUCUCUUUCAGCUGAUGUUAAAAUGCUUUAUGUGCUAACUGUCCAUCUCUUCACUCUUGAUGCACAGCUAUUAUGUACAAUAAAACCAUAACUCAAUCAGAUCGUAUGGUUGAGACAAAGCCAAUCGGCUUACUAGAUCAGAAGUGACAACC
rnacentral:lncRNA from 1 species